GCCCUUGUCCUUCUCAGUGACCUGCUGCUGACCCUGAGCUACCAGGUCCCCAAGGAGGACACAAGCUGCUCCUUCUCAUUCCUGAGCCCGUCUGCAGCCAAAGUUUGCUCCUUGGUGGGAGUGGCCUCGUUUGUUUCUCGUUGUGGAGCAGCCCAAAAUGUUCAAACGAUCCAAAAAUUCCAAAAAGCAUCGGCCCUACAUGUACUUUUCUCUCCUGGUAAAUAAACCACGGGUGCCUCCCCUGGUCAGUGAGUUUCCCUUGGGUCAUUGUGUUGAAAAGCUGCGAGAGCUUCCGCGGGUCCGCUGUGACGUGGCUGGUGUAGAUGGAGCUGGAGUAGGCUGGUCUCCAUCUGGCCACUAAUCAGAUCAGUGACCUCCGUGUGGGUCACUGUGGUUCUACGCCACACACACCCCCAUGAGUGUCCCCAACCCCAGGGGGACCCGCAGCAUCAGCCUUCCUUUGAGCACCAGCCUUUUCCUGGGACCCUGUCCUUGUCACCUGUGGGGGAGGCCCUUCCACAUUCUCCUCUGUUUUGUCUUGAGCCCAGGUCCCUUGGGGCGGGGUCUCUGCGCUCCUGUUGUGGUUGACAAACCCAUCCAGAUGCUGGACUCCUCCCUUGAAGUGCAGAGUCUGUGGAAGGCCACCAGCAGUUCUGGGGCCCGCCCUCGGGGGCUCGGUGCAGCCCUGGAUCACAGACUGGGCACACAAGCCUGUGGGUGUGGCCACAGCACAGAGGCUUUUCAGCCUCUUAUGGGGUCUCUUGGAGCUAUUUCAGAAGCACCUGGACACAUACAGCUGGGCAGAGACGCUCCUGAGUUCAUCUGCCGCGCCCUCGACUCUACCUGGCCGCUGGCUCACAGCCUGGUGCUUAAGCCACCCACCUGAUCCACAGGUAGCUGGGCCCCUCCCCUGCCUAACCUCCACUGCUCCAUCGGGCCCCCGCCUUUCCGAGCUGAGCUGA
rnacentral:lncRNA from 9 species